rnacentral:rRNA from 1 species
UACAGAGGGUGCGAGCGUUGUCCGGAAUCACUGGGCGUAAAGGGCGCGUAGGCGGUCUCUUAAGCGUGUGGUGAAAGCCCGGGGCUCAACUCCGGGUCGGCCGUGCGAACUGGGGGACUGGAGCUUGUCAGAGGCAGGCGGAAUUCCGGGUGUAGCGGUGGAAUGCGUAGAGAUCCGGAAGAACACCGGUGGCGAAGGCGGCCUGCUGGGACAGUGCUGACGCUGAGGCGCGACAUCGUGGGGAGCAAACAGG